AAUACAUCAAAAGAAAAGGAAAAAUUAUGGGUGAAAUUGUCAAGUUGGUUUGUAUAAUGAUUAUCUUUAUUUUCCUAUUUUUUGUUGCAGUGAACGUUGAUGGUAAACUUUUUAUUUAUCAUUUAUAUAUUUUAUUUUUUACUUCUUACGUAAUAUUUUAUACUAUUUUAGUAGCAUUCAUUAUUUUAUUGUUUUUAUUUCAUUUCAGCUGAAGCUAUAGAAUGUACUAAAGAAUCCGGUUGUCCAAAACGUUAUUGCCCGGCACCUCUUCUAGCAAACUGUGUUAGAAGCAAGUGUAAAUGUAUUAUAUAGUAAAAAAAAAAAGAGUUGUAAAAAUAUAUA
rnacentral:lncRNA from 1 species